rnacentral:rRNA from 1 species
GAUGAACGCUGGCGGCGUGCCUAAUACAUGCAAGUCGAGCGAACAGACGAGGAGCUUGCUCCUCUGACGUUAGCGGCGGACGGGUGAGUAACACGUGGAUAACCUACCUAUAAGACUGGGAUAACUUCGGGAAACCGGAGCUAAUACCGGAUAAUAUAUUGAACCGCAGGGUUCAAUAGUGAAAGACGGUUUUGCUGUCACUUAUAGAUGGGUCCGCGCCGCAUUAGCUAGUUGGUAAGGUAACGGCUUACCAAGGCAACGAUGCGUAGCCGACCUGAGAGGGUGAUCGGCCACACUGGAACUGAGACACGGUCCAGACUCCUACGGGAGGCCGCAGUAGGGAAUCUGCCGCAAUGGGCGAAAGCUUGACGGAGCAACGCCGCGUGAGUGAUGAAGGUCUUCGGAUCGUAAAACUCUGUUAUUAGGGAAGAACAAAUGUGUAAGUAACUAUGCACGUCUUGACGGUACCUACUCAGAAAGCCACGGCUAACUACGUG